UGUUGCCGAUGUGAGAGCUUUCCUGUACGUUAGCAGAGCAGCCAUUAUGCAGUUUAUCAAACGAGGGAGAAGAUGAGAUGAUCAGAGAUCGAUAAAAGUUUGGUUUUUGUUCAUUUUACUCGGUGGUGAAGUUGGGUUUUGCCUGAAGAAAAAAAAGUCUAUUUUCAUGUACUCAACGGGACUUGGUUGGGCCGAAUGAAGCGGAUUGUUUUCUGAGAUCCAUGAGCGGAAGAAACAAGAUGGCGAACCAACCCUGAACCAUGAAAGUGAUCCUAGCGAAGGACCAAGCGCCCUCUGCUGGACACUGGACAACCCUUUCUCUGCUGGAACUGCAGGUGGCGUUUGAGUCUGUGAGGCGGUAUGGAGACGUUAGCCAGCAUCAAAAUGGCAGAAGGACCAGAGUCAUCGUCUGUCGACUUUGUUGCUCUCCAGUCUUACAGAUAACCGAAGAACUGGACCGUGGACUGUCUCCUCUGGCAUCCUCAGCCCUACCAGGCUGAGGAAAGGGAGGACUGUGCUGCAGCACAACUGCCAGACUAAGGACGGGGAGGUCCUAGGGGUCCACAGGAGCCACAAAUAUCCAGGGAUUUCUUUUGGAGUCCCUGCAGAUGUUGUCCUCCAGUUCCUGAAUUCUACACCAGCAGACGCUUCUCAACCGCGACCUUCUGCUCUGGCCUCCUUGUUCCGGUCCCUCCAGCCCGCAUGGUGGAGCCAUUCAUUUUAAAUCAACUAAAUGUUAAAGACUAUAAAACAAACAUAUAUUCAUAUUGUAAUCCAUCAAAAUUCUUCUUUUAAAGUAAUAGAUAAAACCUAAAUCAGGUGUUAAAGGUGUUAAAUACGGUUCAGUUUAAACCAAUAUUUGUGGCAUCCCUAAUAAUUUGUGCAUCUUUUUCCAGUUUGCAUGGAGGAGAGCAAUAGUCCCAUGGCCCCCCUGGACCAAACACACGGCUGCCAGCAGCUCCAGCACCAGUUCGCCUGGUGAGCACUAAGACCCAGGGGAACACUUCACCACUGCGUCUGCCCCCACGACCCGGUUCUGAAGAAGAUGGAUCGUUCAGAACUUUCUGACUGCAGCUUUUCCCUGUUUUCUCUUGUUACUAUGAUCCCCCUCCCUAUCUUAAGUUUUGCAGCGGUGCGGCCAGGGGAGGCAGUCCUAGUUUUCGGGAGCCCUUCUGGAUUGCCAUGGACUGUCACCCCUGACAUCAUCAGCCUGGUAAGGAGGAGGAGGAGGGCCACCAUGCUGCAGCACAGCUGCCUUACAACUGUGAGCCCCCCAAUCCAUGAAAACCAGCGGGCUGUCAUACACAUGCAAAAAUGGAGCUGCAAAAGUAACUUUUUAUUUUCAAAAAUCGUUCUUUAGUGAGCCAAAGGUAAUUAAUUAUCAUAUUUCUGCAUGUAGACUAUAGAAUAGCAUGAAAUGUCCUUUAAAUCUGCUGUCCCCUCUGUCUCUGUUCAGUUGGAACCUUCCAGGGGGGGGGGGUGGCGGUCGCCAGCGUGUCCGUGAGGAUCCUUCAGGACUUUCUGACUGCAGCUUCUCCCUGACUAACCAACUCUAAUCCUAACCCAACCUCUAACCCUAAAUCCUAAACCUUACCUGCCCCACCCCCCUCUUGACCCCUGUAGUAGGGGGUGUCAAAGAUCUGCUCAAAUCUGCGUUGACUGACACAUCACCUGACCUCAUCUUAACCCUAACCUCCACCAAACCAAACCCCCCACCCCAACCAUAGCAUGGCCUCCACCCAUCCCUGACCUGAAACUAAUCCUAACCCCAACCCAAGUGACCCCCCCCCCCACCCCUAAUCCUAGUUGGGUUUUAUUUAUGUUGUAAAUGUUCAUUUUUAUCACAUGUAUUAAACUGCCCCACUAUGUGUGUGUUUGUGUGUAUAAAUGUGUUGUUGCCUCUCAUAGUUCAUCAAAUGUCUAAAUGU